GCUCCUGAGAUGGGCACCCAGCUCUUCCACGUGGCCUUCUGUCUCCUGUGGGCAGGACACAUGGAGGCUGACAUCACCCAACGUCCAAGACACAAGCUCACAGAGACAGGAAGACAGGUGAAUUUGAGCUGUCACCAGACUGAUAACCACGAAUACAUGUACUGGUAUCGACAAGACCCUGGGCAUGGGCUGAGGCUGCUCCAUUACUCAUAUGGAGAGAGCAACACGGAAAAAGGAGACAUCCCGGACGGGUACCGCGUGUCCAGACCACGCACGGAGGCCUUCUCCCUCACUGUGGACUCAGCCACCCCCUCCCACACAGCUGUGUACUGGUGUGCCAGCCGUUUCUCCACAGUGCUGUGCGGCUGCCUCCUCUCUGCACAGAAAGUGUGAGGGGAGACGGAGGGCAUCUGCUCGCCCCUUUGAAGUUCUGACUCAGUCACGGAGACGGAGCCCCUUUCAGCCUGCACAUUUCACGGUAAAGGCACCAUCAGUGCAGAGCUCUUUCUCAUACCAUCCUCAGCCUGAACAGAGGUCAUCCCAAUGCCCUUUUUUGGAUGAGC